AGAGUUUGAUCAUGGCUCAGAUUGAACGCUGGCGGAAUGCUUUACACAUGCAAGUCGAACGAUGAACCUUAGCUUGCUAAGGGGAUUAGUGGCGAACGGGUGAGUAAUAUAUCGGAACGUACCUUGUAAUGGGGGAUAACUAGUCGAAAGAUUAGCUAAUACCGCAUACGCCCUGAGGGGGAAAGUAGGGGAUCUUCGGACCUUACGUUAUAAGAGCGGCCGAUAUCUGAUUAGCUAGUUGGUGGGGUAAUGGCCUACCAAGGCGACGAUCAGUAGCUGGUCUGAGAGGACGACCAGCCACACUGGAACUGAGACACGGUCCAGACUCCUACGGGAGGCAGCAGUGGGGAAUUUUGGACAAUGGGCGCAAGCCUGAUCCAGCCAUUCCGCGUGAGUGAAGAAGGCCUUCGGGUUGUAAAGCUCUUUCGCAAGGGAAGAAAACUUACACAAUAACACUGUGUGAGGCUGACGGUACCUUGAUAAGAAGCACCGGCUAACUACGUGCCAGCAGCCGCGGUAAUACGUAGGGUGCGAGCGUUAAUCGGAAUUACUGGGCGUAAAGCGUGCGCAGGCGGUUUUGUAAGUCAGAUGUGAAAUCCCCGAGCUCAACUUGGGAACUGCGUUUGAAACUACAAGACUAGAAUAUGUCAGAGGGGGGUAGAAUUCCACGUGUAGCAGUGAAAUGCGUAGAGAUGUGGAGGAAUACCAAUGGCGAAGGCAGCCCCCUGGGAUAAUAUUGACGCUCAUGCACGAAAGCGUGGGGAGCAAACAGGAUUAGAUACCCUGGUAGUCCACGCCCUAAACGAUGUCUACUAGUUGUUGGUGG
rnacentral:rRNA from 1 species